AUGAUUGACACAAAUUUCCCCAUCAUGAGCUGGAACAUCCGAGGUCUAAACACGCCGACGCAACGCGCAGUAGUUUGUGAGAUGACAGAUGCUCAUAGGCUAGCUAUCCUCUUCCUCCAGGAGACUAAAAUCAAAGCCUGGAGUGGCCCCCUGGUCAAGGACAUCGGCGGAGCAAGGCUAACUGAUUGCAUCGUGCUCCCCGCCUCCGGCACCAGGGGCGGCCCUGCAAUCUUCUGGGACAACUCUGUAGUAGAUGUGCAAUCGCAUGCUAUCGGCCUUUUCUCCAUCACUGCCCGCGUCACCCUGAGAACAACUUCAACAAUGUUUUGGCUGACCACGGUGUACGGCCCCGUUGACGAUAGUAGAAAGGACGAGUUCUUGUUAGAGGUAGCUAGGACGGCGCCGCCACCAAACGACCCCUGGCUUAUCAACAAUGAUUUCAACCUCAUAUACAAGGCUAGUGACAAGAACAAUAGCAACAUCAACCGUAGAAUGAUGGGCAAAUUCCGUGCGGCGAUCGACGCCGCGGGACACCGGGAGAUCAGAUGCAAAAACCGUCGUUUCACUUGGAGUAACGAGUGA
rnacentral:rRNA from 1 species